rnacentral:rRNA from 1 species
UACGGGGGGGGCAAGCGUUGUUCGGAAUUACUGGGCGUAAAGGGCUCGUAGGCGGCCAACUAAGUCAGACGUGAAAUCCCUCGGCUUAACCGGGGAACUGCGUCUGAUACUGGUUGGCUUGAAUCCGGGAGAGGGAUGUGGAAUUCCAGGUGUAGCGGUGAAAUGCGUAGAUAUCUGGAGGAACACCGGUGGCGAAGGCGGCAUCCUGGACCGGCAUUGACGCUGAGGCGCGAAAGCGUGGGUAGCAAACAGG